AAGGCUCUGCUAAGUGUUAUCUCUGUAGCAGGAUGGUACAAGGAAAGGCUCCGCUAAGUGUUAUCUCUGUAGCAGGAUGGUUACUAGGAAAGGCUCCGCUAAGUGUUAUCUGUAGCAGGAUGGUACUAGGAAAGGCUCCGCUAAGUGUUAUCUCUGUAGAAGGAUGGUUACUAGGAAAGGCUCCACUAAGUGUUAUCUCUGUAGAAGGAUGGUUACUAGGAAAGGCUCCGCUAAGUGUUAUCUAUGUAGAAGGAUGGUUACAAGGAAAGGCUCUGCUAAGUGUUAUCUCUGUAGAAGGAUGGUUACUAGGAAAGGCUCCACUAAGUGUUAUCUCUGUAGCAGGAUGGUUACUAGGAAAGGCUCCGCUAAGUGUUAUCUCUGUAGCAGGAUGGUUACUAGGAAAGGCUCCGCUAAGUGUUAUCUCUGUAGAAGGAUGGUUACUAGGAAAGGCUCCACUAAGUGUUAUCUCUGUAGCAGGAUGGUUACUAGGAAAGGCUCCGCUAAGUGUUAUCUCUGUAGAAGGAUGGUUACUAGGAAAGGCUCCACUAAGUGUUAUCUCUGUAGCAGGAUGGUUACUAGGAAAGGCUCCGCUAAGUGUUAUCUCUGUAGCAGGAUGGUUACUAGGAAAGGCUCCGCUAAGUUGUAUCUCUGUAGAAGGAUGGUUACUAGGAAAGGCUCCACUAAGUGUUAUCUCUGUAGCAGGAUGGUACUAGGAAAGGCUCCGCUCAGUGUUAUCUCUGUAGCAGGAUGGUUACUAGGAAAGGCUCCGCUAAGUGUUAUCUCUGUAGCAGGAUGGUACUAGGAAAGGCUCCACUAAGUGUUAUCUCUGUAGCAGGAUGGUUACUAGGAAAGGCUCCGCUAAGUGUUAUCUCUGUAGCAGGAUGGUACUAGGAAAGGCUCCGCUCAGUGUUAUCUCUGUAGCAGGAUGGUUACUAGGAAAGGCUCCGCUAAGUGUUAUCUCUGUAGCAGGAUGGUUACUAGGAAAGGCUCCGCUAAGUUUUAUCUCUGUAGAGGAUACUGCAGAUUUACACCUACUCCAGAAUGAACCCUCAAUCCAUUAAUGGAAAUCUGAAUGAAUUGGACAGGUGAAAGCAUAGCGCCCUUAUCACCUUGAUUAUACCCAUCCGGUAUCUCUGAGUGCGAUGGGGUUAAGGGUUGAUUUGGGAUUGGGCCUUUGAACACUUCCCGUCCCUGAAGUCGAACACUUAGUGCCUUAGUACCCUUUCAUAAGUGCACAUCCAUGCACACCAACUUGCUUUCUGACAGUCCCUUGUGGUAUGUAGCUGUUUGCGUUACGAUCAUUACCCCAUUCAUCUUUAUUUGUGUCUGGCUACUUAAGGCUUCAUCAAUAUCCCUGUGUUAGGUGUCCGAAGGUGAAUGCUCGGUGCAUGUGCAAGUGCAAUUCCUUACAGACCAGCCUCUGUGGAUAGAAUCUGGGAUUCCUUUGAGCUUUUGCUAAACCUAUUGAUCCUCAGCAAUGCUACGGAGGCACACCAAACAGUACAGUCUUCAAAAAGCCAUUGCAAAAACGAGGUAGCCUGUGAAGUUCUGCAGUUGGAACUUUUCCCCAGUAACAUGUUGGUGAGUGAUUAUCAGAGUGUGUUUGGAGAGGUUGUGUGGCAGUGGCAGUGUUUAAAUGAGCUGUGUGGCAGUGGAGGUGUUUUAAUGAGCUGUGUGGCAGUGGAGGUGUUUUAAUGAGCUGUGUGGCAGUGGCAGUGUUUAAAUGAGCUGUGUGGCAGUGGAGGUGUUUUAAUGAGCUGUGUGGCAGUGUUUAAAUGAGCUGUGUGGCAGUGGAGGUGUUUUAAUGAGCUGUGUGGCGGUGGAGGUGUUUUAAUGAGCUGUGUGGCAGUGGAGGUGUUUUAAUGAGCUGUGUGGCGGUGGAGGUGUUUUAAUGAGCUGUGUGGCGGUGGAGGUGUUUUAAUGAGCUGUGUGGCAGUGGAGGUGUUUUAAUGAGCUGUGUGGCGGUGGAGGUGUUCUAAUGAGCUGUGUGGCGGUGGAGGUGUUUUAAUGAGCUGUGUGGCUCAGGAAGCUCUGGCAGGGAGCCUGGCUAAUGAGGGUUAGCCCUGGCACAUGCGCCACCAUGUGACGUUCUGUCUUCUGUAGGUGCCCAUGCCUGCCCGUGUGCCACACACCCCACUCCCAUUCAGCUCCUCUGCCAACCCUGUUGCCUUAGCUUUUCUGAGCAGCUUCGGAUCUGAAUCCACUACGACUCGCCGUCGUCCUCAGGAGAUGGUUUGGGGCGAGUCAAAAGGCGAGAAAGAAAAACAAAACAUGCCCAAAAGAUUUCAAAGAGGAGAAAAAAAGCGGCACCAAAUGCUAGCUGCUGUUUGAUCAUAGUGGCUCACGUUAGACACCCUCAUCAUGGACAUGUUAUUCUGUAUUUCCUAGCUUGUGCCCCUCACGUUAGACACCCU
rnacentral:lncRNA from 1 species